rnacentral:rRNA from 1 species
GACGGAGGGUGCUAGCGUUGUUCGGAAUCACUGGGCGUAAAGGGCGCGUAGGCGGCCUUGCAAGUCGGUUGGUGAAAGCCCGGGGCUCAACCCCGGAGGUGCGGCCGAGACUGCAGGGCUGGAGGCCGGAAGAGGAGGGUGGAAUACCCAGUGUAGAGGUGAAAUGCGCAGAUAUCGGGAGGAACACCAAUGGCGAAGGCAGCUCGCUGGGACGGUACUGACGCUGAGACGCGAAAGCGUGGGGAGCAAACAGG